GGGACUGUAGCUCAGUGGUAGAGCGCUUGCCUAGCAUGUGUGAGGCCCUGGGUUUGAUCCUCAGCACCA
rnacentral:tRNA from 1 species